rnacentral:rRNA from 1 species
UACGGAGGGUGCAGCGUUUGUCCGGAAUUAUUGGGCGUAAAGGGCGCGUAGGCGGCGUGACAAGUCACUUGUGAAAUCUCCGGGCUUAACUCGGAACGGUCAAGUGAUACUGUCGUGCUAGAGUACAGAAGGGGCAACUGGAAUUCUCGGUGUAGCGGUGAAAUGCGUAGAUAUCGAGAGGAACACCUGCGGCGAAGGCGGGUUGCUGGGCUGAUACUGACGCUGGAGGCGCGAAAGCCUAGGGGAGCGAACGGG